GUCGAGAAUAAUUCACAAUGGGGGCAACCCUGAUGGUGCAACGCCGCGUGGAGGAUGAAGGUCUUCGGAUUGUAAACUCCUGUCAUCCGGGAGCAAGACCUGGCCGUGAAUAGCGGACAGGGUUGAUAGUACCGGAAGAGGAAGGGACGGCUAACUUCGUGCCAGCAGCCGCGGUAAUACGAAGGUCCCGAGCGUUGUUCGGAAUCACUGGGCGUAAAGGGAGCGUAGGCGGCGCGGUAAGUCAGAUGUGAAAUCCUAGGGCUCAACCCUGGAACUGCAUCCGAUACUGCUGUGCUUGAGCAAUGGAGAGGUAGCCGGAAUUCUCGGUGUAGCAGUGAAAUGCGUAGAUAUCGAGAGGAACACUCGUGGCGAAAGCGGGCUACUGGACAUUUGCUGACGCUGAGGCUCGAAGGCCGGGGGAGCGAAAGGGAUUAGAAACCCUUGUAGUCC
rnacentral:rRNA from 1 species